rnacentral:lncRNA from 1 species
GAAUAAAAGCAAUGUCUGGUGUUUCCUACUUAUAUAAAAUAUGAAUUAAUAGAGGUUAUCUUAUGUGAAGAAGGAAAUGGCAACCCGCUCCAAUAUUUUUGCCUGGGAAGUCCCAUGGACAGAGGAGCCUGAUGGGCUACAGUCCACAGGGUCCGCAAAGAACUGGGCAUGACUUAGCGACUAAACAACAACAAACUUAGACGGAAAGUUAUUUGAUCUCUUACACCUUCAAUAACCAAAGUGGCCAUAUAAUUCAUAUAGAACUUUAGUUUUCUAAAAUUUUUUCUUUGUAAUCUGAACUUGACUUUUCAGGAAUAACUGCCACAGAGACAUAAAUAAUGUAAAAUUACAAAACUUUAAAUAAGUAAUGGAAGUUUACUCCACUUCUUAUGCCUGUGAGAGUGACCAUGAAGCAAGUAAACUGAAACAUAUUUUUCAAGAACCAAGCUUUUCAGAAAGAGAGUUAAUAUAUUUGACAGGUUUUACUAAACAGACAUGUCUUAUAUCUCUUGCACUUAGUUUAUGCUUUGAUGAAUGCCCAUGUUCCUUUAAGUUCUCACCUAAACGGAAGAAAUUCUCUAAAUUUGCAAUUAUGAAUCUUCUUGCUAUGCCUUAUUUAAGCUGUCUACCUAACUAUAUAUUUAUUCACCCAGGGAAUAUUAAGCACCUCUUAUGCAUCAAUUCCAUUAACCUAUUAGUAUUUCUCUUCAUAUGUAACUUCCUUGGCAUGAACCUAUUGGCUCUUCAGUUCACAACAUCAAGCUUAACAGAGUAACUGAGCUCUGAUCAGAACUCUACUGAAAGCCUCUGCGGGUCGGUGGUCUCAUUCAGGAAGAGGAAAGUGCUUGCUUGCUUUCUACUGGUACUAACCCUCCCUUAAUUCAAGAUAUUUGCAUAAAAUACUUUGAUAAAGCCAAUGUAACUUCUAUUAAUGUGCUGAUUCACAUUAAUUCAGUCUUUAAGGUGCUUCUUUAGCAAGCACUUAUCUAACUGAAUUUUGAUUCUAAUAUUUAAACUACUAAUUAUCCCUUUAUCUUACUGACUUUUUGCCUACCAUACUUAAAAGGAGAGGUCUUGG